GGCCCGGUAGUUCAGUUUGGUUAGAACGCUAGCCUGUCACGCUAGAGGCCGAGGGUUCGAGUCCCUUCCGGGUCGCCA
rnacentral:tRNA from 1 species